rnacentral:rRNA from 1 species
CACCAGGUUGAUUCUGCCUGACGUGGAUGCUAGUCUCAUAGGUUAAGCCAUGCAUGUGCAAGCGAAGCCGGUGGUGGAGCGGCGCAAGGCUCAGUAACGGGCGACUGAUUUGAUCUCCCGGUGUGGACAACCUCUGUAAACGGAGGCCAAAACACAGGAGCGCCGUGUACAGAGACGGUGCGAGAACCGGAGGUGCGGGAGAGUAAAGAGCCAUCCCAUCAGUUAGUAAGUAGGGUAAGGGCCUACUUAGACGAAGACGGGUACGGGGAAUUAGAGUUCGAUUCCGGAGAGGGAGCCUGAGAGACGGCUACCAGGUCCAAGGACAGCAGCAGGCGCGCAAAUUACCGAAGCCGCGUUCGGGGCGGUAGUAAGGAGACGUGUAAGCGAUGUGCAGGUAAAAUAUGCACUGGUAACAGGAGGUAAAGACUGGUGCCAGCAUCCGCGGUAAUACCAGCUCCUGGAGUGUCUAUGAUGAUUGCUGCAGUUAAAGAGUUCGUAGUCGGGCUGCGUGACUGGGGUUUAAGGCCCGCUAUCGAGGCGGGCAGUGCGCCAGAAAAGCAGAGGAUGAGGAGCGGCCGGGGGCCAGGUUAUUAAGCGACGAGAGGUGAAAUUUGAUGACUCGCUUAGGAGCAGCAGAGGCGAAAGCGCUGGCCAGGGGCGAAUCCGAUGAUAAAGGACGUAGGCUAGAGGAUCGAAGACGAUUAGAGACCAUGGUAGUUCUAGCAGUAAACGAUGCCGAUGCCGUGGGGCGGUGACCCGCCACGCAGAGGAGAAAUUGAGUAGGGCCCUGGGGAGAGUACACGCACAAGCGAGAAAUUUAAAGGAAAUUGACGGAAGAACACCACAAGGAGUGGAGUGUGCGGCUUAAUUUGACUCA